CUGCUGCCUCCCGUAGGAGUUUGGGCCGUGUCUCAGUCCCAAUGUGGCCGUUCACCCUCUCAGGCCGGCUACUGAUCGUCGCCUUGGUGGGCUGUUACCCCGCCAACAAGCUAAUCAGACGCGGAUCCAUCGUAUACCACCGGAGUUUUUCACACCGUCUCAUGCGAGACUGUGCGCUUAUGCGGUAUUAGCACCUAUUUCUAAGUGUUAUCCCCCAGUAUACGGCAGGUUAUCCACGCGUUACUCACCCGUCCCG
rnacentral:rRNA from 1 species